rnacentral:lncRNA from 1 species
AGAAAUUAGAAAACUCCAAACAUGAUGAUAAGAGGUCUCUUAGGAGACCGAAGGGGUUAAGCAAAUUAAAUAAUAUUGAAGCAUUUGUUAUAUUUGUGAAUGAUGUUUCCCAAAUAUAUAUUGAUAAACUAUACAUCAAGAAUAGGAUGGGUAUAAAAACCCCUUAUACACCUGGAAGCAUGGAGUGGAAUGCAGUCAAAGAAAUCAACGUGCCCAUGUCUCAUAUAAAGAAAUAACAGUUUGUAGUUUGAGGGCUUACCUACCUGACUGGAGAGCGACAUAUAGAGCCCUAGACGGUUGACGGCGAGAGGGCGAGACAACAGAUGGGAACGGCAGCGAUUUGUU